rnacentral:rRNA from 1 species
GGGACUAGCGCAGAAUACCAUGCAGUCGAGCGGAGACGAGAUAUCUGAACCUUCGGGGAACGAUAACGGCGUCGAGCGGCGGACGGGUGAGUAAUGCCUAGGAAAUUGCCCUGAUGUGGGGGAUAACCAUUGGAAACGAUGGCUAAUACCGCAUGAUGCCUACGGGCCAAAGAGGGGGACCUUCGGGCCUCUCGCGUCAGGAUAUGCCUAGGUGGGAUUAGCUAGUUGGUGAGGUAAGGGCUCACCAAGGCGACGAUCCCUAGCUGGUCUGAGAGGAUGAUCAGCCACACUGGAACUGAGACACGGUCCAGACUCCUACGGGAGGCAGCAGUGGGGAAUAUUGCACAAUGGGCGCAAGCCUGAUGCAGCCAUGCCGCGUGUGUGAAGAAGGCCUUCGGGUUGUAAAGCACUUUCAGUCGUGAGGAAGGUAGUGUAGUUAAUAGCUGCAUUAUUUGACGUUAGCGACAGAAGAAGCACCGGCUAACUCCGUGCCAGCAGCCGCGGUAAUACGGAGGGUGCGAGCGUUAAUCGGAAUUACUGGGCGUAAAGCGCAUGCAGGUGGUUUGUUAAGUCAGAUGUGAAAGCCCGGGGCUCAACCUCGGAAUAGCAUUUGAAACUGGCAGACUAGAGUACUGUAGAGGGGGGUAGAAUUUCAGGUGUAGCGGUGAAAUGCGUAGAGAUCUGAAGGAAUACCGGUGGCGAAGGCGGCCCCCUGGACAGAUACUGACACUCAGAUGCGAAAGCGUGGGGAGCAAACAGGAUUAGAUACCCUGGUAGUCCACGCCGUAAACGAUGUCUACUUGGGAGGUUGUGGCCUUGAGCCGUGGCUUUCGGAGCUAACGCGUUAAGUAGACCGCCUGGGGGAGUACGGUCGCAAGAUUAAAACUCAAAUGAAUUGACGGGGGCCCGCACAAGCGGUGGAGCAUGUGGUUUAAUUCGAUGCAACGCGAAGAACCUUACCUACUCUUGACAUCCAGAGAACUUUCCAGAAAAUGGAUUGGUGCCUUCGGGAACUCUGAGACAGGUGCUGCAUGGCUGUCGUCAGCUCGUGUUGUGAAAUGGUUGGGGUUAAGUCCCGCAACGAGCGCAACCCUUAUCCUUGUUUGCCAGCGAGUAAUGUCGGGAACUCCAGGGAAAC